CAGCCGCCGCGGUAAUACAGAGGGUGCGAGCGUUAAUCGGAUUUACUGGGCGUAAAGCGUGCGUAGGCGGCUUUUUAAGUCGGAUGUGAAAUCCCUGAGCUUAACUUAGGAAUUGCAUUCGAUACUGGGAAGCUAGAGUAUGGGAGAGGAUGGUAGAAUUCCAGGUGUAGCGGUGAAAUGCGUAGAGAUCUGGAGGAAUACCGAUGGCGAAGGCAGCCAUCUGGCCUAAUACUGACGCUGAGGUACGAAAGCAUGGGGAGUAAACAGGAUUAGAUACCCCGGUAGUCCCUGUCUCUUAUAA
rnacentral:rRNA from 1 species